UUGAAAGACAUGAGUGGUAGA
rnacentral:siRNA from 1 species